AGUUUUUACUAAAUGAAGAAAAAAAACUUAUCUUAGUACCUUUGAGUGGUGUGAUACCUCUUUCUACAAAGGAAUGCAAGUAAAAAACACACAAUAAAGAACAUGCAUUGGCUGGAACAAAGAGAGCAAUUGGGAGUGCAAGUUCUUCAGCAGCUUGAAUAGUAAAAGUCAUCAAACAAUCAGAAACCAAACAAGUAACUGGUGGAAUAAGACCAAUAUUGGCAGAUUCACUAAGUCUAGCAAGAACUUCACAAAAAGGUUUAUAGAAAUUCUUCAUGACUGAUUGACAAAGAGAGUUUGUGUCUUGACUAACAUCACCAUUACCUUCCAUUGGUGUUAAACCAUCUGGUAUAGUUUCAAAGUUAAAGUCAGUGAAACCAUCAAGAGAAUUAGGACCCUUUGAGUUAAGCAAACGUUUGUGAUUGUAUUCAGUGUUGACAAAGGUUAUGUGAAAGCCUUUAAGGUGAAGAAGUUUUGCUACUUUGAAUAAUGGAUUGAUAUGGCCUUGAAGUGGAUAUGGAAUCAACACUGCAUGUGGUUUUUUCUCUGCAUAAUUAUUCAUAUCUGAUGAAAUUUUCUGUUUCUAUGUUAUGUAUGCAAGAUAUGAGGUUGAGAAGCUUGUUCUUACAUAAAUGGAAAUAGGAUAGUGUUAUCCUGUGACUCUUGGAGGAGUAAUAGAAUUAAAAAAAAAUAUAAAGAAAUCAACAAACAGAUAUAAAAUUUAGGAGGUCCUAUCAAAAGAAAAUAAGAUCUAAUAAUUGAUUUUUGCUAUUAUUAUAAUUUUUUCACUUUUGCUUCCCACACCCCUCAAUUUACUUCCCACACCCCUUAAAUUUUUUGUAAACCCUGAAUACCCAAACUACCCUUCUCUCUUUAUUCAAUUAACUCAUCAUUUCUAACUUCAUCAUCUUCAUCUUCAUUAACCUAACACCUUCAUCUUCAAUCAUCUACAUCCUUGAAUCAAGUAAGCAAUCUUCAAUCAUUUUUAACCCUAAACCGAAUUUUUUUUUUUGAAUGGUUUAGGGUUUUUUGAAUGGUUGUUUUUGAAUAUUCAUCAAUGGUUGUUUUUUGAAUGAUUGUUCCAAAUUUCAUCACUUUUACGUGAACUGAGAUAAGUAUAUGUACGUGUUCACGUAGCAAAUACGUAAAUUGAAUUCAAGUGAACAUACGUAAACUCGGUUCACGUAUGACUGAGAUUUUUCAAAUUCUUACCAAUACGUGAACUAAAUUCACGUAUGUGUACGUGAAUUCAAUUCACAUGUUUGUUACGUGAAUUGAGUUCACGUACGUUAUCUCAAUUCACGUAGUUCAUAUGAAAUUUUAAAACUCCAUUGAUGUACGCAAUCUUAAUUCAUGUACGUUUACGUAAACUUAAUUCACGUAGCAUCUGAAUUUUCUUAAUUUUAUUAGAUACGUGAAUUCAUUUCACGUAAACGUACGAAAUCCAGAUUUUGAAAAAAAAAUUAAGCUACAAAACCCAACAAAAUACAUAUCUAGUUGAUUUGAAUCACUAUAAUGAUAAAGAUGAUGAAAAUGAUGAAGAUGUUGAAAAUGAUUGAAGAUGAAAUGUAUCAAAAUGAUUGAAGAAUAUUGAAGAAGAUUGAAAAUGUUAGGUUAAUGAAGAUGAACAUGAUGAAGAUAUAUAGAAAUGAAGGGUUAAAUGAAUAAAGAGGGAAGGACAGUUCGGGUAUUUUGGGUUUACAAAAAAAUUGAGGAGUGUGGGAAGCAAAAUGAGGGGUGUGGGAAGCAAACGUGUAAUUCUUUUUUAUAUAAAAAACUGUUGGUAAGUUAACUGUUAUGUUAGUUUUAAGAAAUAACCUUGAUUGUGUUAUUGGAAAAUGUUGUCCAUCAAUCACAAUCACCACAAACUCUUCACGUACAGUUACUUACAAUCUAUAAAUUAGUUGUAUGUAUAAACACAACAAAAUAAUAUGAAGCAUGUGAGGAUGCACUGUUUUUAAAGAGUUAUUCUCCUAGAUGAAAAUUCCUAAGGAUUUACAAAAUUAACACCAAAUAAAUUGCUGAAAUAAGAGUAAAAUAUCAUUCUUAUAGAGAAGAAAGAAAUAAUAAGACAAUAAAGCCAAUUAACUUUCAACUUUUUAAAAGUUCAACAAAGCCGAUAAGAUUUUGGAGUGGUUACAAUGAUGCAUUAAUAUUAUAGUAUGAUUAAAGCCAUUAUAUUAUGAUGAAUAAUUAGAGUAUGUUCAGUAUUGUGUGUAAAGUCUAAUUUAAUUCGCAAAUAUUUAUAUUAUUAAGCUAAGUAUUAUGUCUUGGAUCUGAAUCAAAAAUCUUGCAAUUGUGCAUGUGAAUUUUAAAUAACGUUUAUUAUUUUGUCUACAAACAUAAAAUAAUAAUUACAUAAAGAAAAACCUAGUUGUCUAGCCAUUACAAUUUACACGUCUUUUCAUAUUCAUAUAUUAAAAUAAAAAGAGUAGUAUAGAGUUCUUUUUUGUGUAGAAUUAUCUCUCUACAUUGUUUUUUUUUUCUCCUUUUAUCUAAAUAUAAAAGGUUAUUAAUUUAGUUUUUUUUUUGUAUUGUACAUAAUUUUGUGGAAUGUUGUUUGAUUUCUCAUUUUGUUGUGAUAUUCGUUUGAUUUAGAUCGACAAAUUAAUUUUGAUCAAUUACAGAUUCAAUCAACACUUUAACAUGAUCAAUGUUACAAAUUCAAAGACACAAGUAUUCUAAAUAUAUACUUUAAUUUUGUCAACUUUUUAGACGUUUUUCCAUUUUACACUAUGAACUUAGAUGAAUUAAGGUUGUAGACAGAUUCAUCAUUUUCAAUUUAAAAGAUUUUGAAAAAAAUAAAAAAAUUCGAUGUUUCUAACAAUUUGAAUUAAUAAAUAUUGUUUUUUUAAGUAAAAAAAGAAUAUAUUAUGAAAUAAUUAAUUUGUUCAUUUGCCAAUUGUCAAGUAAGGAAGACCAAAUCAAGGUACUAAAGGUAUAUCAAAACCAAAUAACUUUAACCAUUUAAUUAAAUUUGCAUUAAUCAAAAUUAUGUAAUUAAAUUACUUUUAAAUUUAAAAUAUUAUAAAAUUUACAAUAUCUACUACUCAAAAUUCCUUUUGGUGUUUUUUACCUCACCGAUUGAGCAACUUGAACUCACUUUAUUGUUCUUAGAUAUGUUGGUUAUUCUCUAGUUUAACCAAAUCAAGAGUGCAUUGAAUUUUCUGUUGUGUCCAUAUGAUACAUUAAUUAGUCAAGAAUAUUAGGGUCCACUAAAUAUUUAUGCAUGAUUGUGAAGAUGGACCACCAAAAUAAGUAUCAGUCCAGUUUGUCCACAUGCAAUCUGCAUUAGAGAGUUUGUUAUCCUUUUGAUAGGUGGAAAUAAAUUUGUAAAACAAAAUAAUAGAUAGUGUUAUAAAUCCUACUAUCAAAGACACGAAGAUUCAUCUCAUAGGAAAAAUAAAUUUGAGAGUUUAAUACAGAGAAAAACACUUUUUAAAGAUAGUAGACAAGUACAUGAGGUGUUCUAUAUUUCGAGAGAAUGCAUAAUAAUAAUAAUAAUAAUAAUAUCAGCUUAUAAAAUUUUAGAUACAACCAGCACUAUUAAAAGAUGCAUAAUUUUUUCUUGUGAGUGAAAUACAUUGAAUAAAAGAAGAUUAAUGAAGUAACAGAAUGCAUAAUAUAACUCUAUCUAAUUGUGUUUAAGCAACACCUCAUUAAUCACUUUGUCCAAGUUCAUAUAUGAACAACCACCAACUCUUGUGUCCUCCAUUGCCUUAUUCUUCAACUCCAUAGCCUUUUCCCUCAUCUUCUUUCCUUUCUCUCCAACUAUCAAUUCAUUGACCAACUUCUCCACUUCCUCUCUCUUCACAUUAGUAUCAAUUUCAAGUCCAAUCUCCCAUUCAUUGCAAAUAAAUCUACAAUUUGUUGGCUGAUCACCAAAGACUGGCCAACACAACAUUGGAACUCCAGCACAUAUGCUCUCAGUGGUUGAAUUCCAUCCACAAUGAGUCAAGAAUCCACCAAUUGAAGGGUGGUUCAAAACUUUCUCUUGUGGACACCAACUUGCUAUUAGGCCUCUAUCUGAAGUUUCAUUCACAAACUCAGAUGACAAAACCACAGAGCCACCAAUCACAAGAUCAGGCCUAAUGAUCCACAAAAAUGGUUUUUUGCUAUUAGCCAAACCCCAUGCAAACUCUAACACUUGCUCAUGAGUCAUAACUGUAAUGCUUCCAAAAUUCACAUAAACAAUAGACCUUGGUUCCUUGCUUUCAAGCCACUCAAGACACUUAGUAUCUUCUUUCCAAAGAUUGCAACCUAAUGAUGCCAAGUGAUUUUGUGGUGUUUGAUUUAAUAAUGAAGGUAAAGGACCAAUGGGGUAUAGAGAAGGAAACAUAGAAGAGAGAGCAUCUAUUACAUCACUCUCAAGCUCAUUGAAUGUAUUCAAAACAAUGGUAGAUUCUCUAUUGACUCUAUCUGCCAUUUCAAUGAGAAAUUCUAACAUAAUAUCAUUUGGAUUUGUUGUUCUGAUAAAGGCAACAAUGUCCUUCAAUCGAAAGUUCUUCAAACCUGGAAUCCAUUCUACUUUAGCUUCCAAAAAUCCAUUUCUCAGGUAACUCUCAUCUGCAUAUCAUGGAAGUUAAUUAUUUGUUCAAGUAUAAAUUAUACUUUUCAAAUUUUAUGAAAUUUUUUGGAUAUCAACUUCUUAUUAAGAGUUUUUAAAUUGACUGUAGUGCAAUCAACUAAAAUAUGGACCGUCCUAUCUUUUGAGUGUACGGUCCAUAUGUAUCUGGCUGCAGUCAAUGUUUACGUUGAGGCUUCAUAGAUUAUAAAUUAUAAUCUAUGAAGACAAAGAAAAAAACUUAACUUGGUACAUACCUUUGAGUGGUGUGAGUCCUUUUUCUACAAAGGAACGAAAGUGCAAAAUACACAUCAAAGAACAUGCACUGGCUGGAAAAUAGAGAACAUUAGGGAGUGAUAGUUCUUCAGCAGCUUGUAUAGUAAAGCUCAUACAAGAAUCAGAAACUAAGCAAGUAACUGGUGGAAUAAGAGCAUCAUUGGCAGAGUCAUUAAGUCUAGCAAGAAGUUCACAAAAAGGUUUGAGGAAGUUCUUUCUGAUAGACUGACUAAGAGAAGGUACAUCUUGACUAACAUCACCAUCACCUUCUAUUGGAGUUAAACCAUCUGGUAUAGUCUCAAAGUUAAAGUCAGUGAAACCAUUAAGAGAAUUAGGACCUCUUGAUUUGAGCAAACGUUUGUGAUUGUACUCAGUGUUGACAAAGGUUAUGUGAAAGCCUCUAAGGUGAAGAAGUUUUG
rnacentral:lncRNA from 1 species